AUACGUAGGGUGCAAGCGUUAAUCGGAAUUACUGGGCGUAAAGCGUGCGUAGGUGGUUCAGCAAGUUGGAUGUGAAAGCCCCGGGCUCAACCUGGGAACUGCAUCCAAAACUACUGAGCUAGAGUACGGUAGAGGGUGGUGGAAUUUCCUGUGUAGCGGUGAAAUGCGUAGAUAUAGGAAGGAACACCAGUGGCGAAGGCGACCACCUGGACUGAUACUGACACGGAGGUGCGAAGGCGUGGGGAGCAAACAGGAUUAGAUACCCUGUUAGUCCACGCCGUAAACGAUGUCAACUAGUUGUUGGGUUCCUUGAGAACUUAGUAACGAAGCUAACGCGAUAAGUUGACCGCCUGGGGAGUACGGCCGCAAGGUUAAAACUCAAAUGAAUUGGCGGGG
rnacentral:rRNA from 1 species